rnacentral:rRNA from 1 species
UGCCAGCCGCCGCGGUAAUACGGAGGGUGCAAGCGUUGUUCGGAAUUAUUGGGCGUAAAGCGUUCGUAGCCGGUUUGGUAAGUCUCUUGUGAAAUUGUUCGGCUUAACCGAACAGCGUGCAGGAGAAACUCCCAAACUCGAGACCGGGAGGGGUCAGAGGUAUUCCAUGGGGACUGGUAAAAUGGGAUAAUCCAUGGAGGACCACCGAUGGCGAAGGCAUCUGACCAGAACGGAUCUGACGGUGAGGAACGAAAGCCAGGGGAGCGAACCGGAUUAGAUA